AAACUCUUUUUCUGUUCUCGGUUCAGGCACUUCUUGUACUGCUUUUUUAUUUCUUCUUUUUUUCUUUUUUCUUUUUUUUUUAGCAGGAUCAACCUCGAUUCCUCUUUCUUUCACAAUAAGCCUCAACGACUUACCGGACCGCACUCCGAAAGUGCACUUAUUCGAAUUCAACCUCAGUCUGAAUUGUCUCACGGUCAAACAGUUUGCCCCGGUCUACCGAUUGCCCCUCUUCUGUUUGGGACUUUGC
rnacentral:lncRNA from 1 species